rnacentral:rRNA from 1 species
UACGUAGGUGGCGAGCGUUGUCCGGAUUUACUGGGCGUAAAGGGAGCGUAGGCGGACCUUUAAGUGAGAUGUGAAAUACUCGGGCUCAACUUGAGUGCUGCAUUUCAAACUGGAAGUCUAGAGUGCAGGAGAGGAGAAUGGAAUUCCUAGUGUAGCGGUGAAAUGCGCAGAGAUUAGGAAGAACACCAGUGGCGAAGGCGAUUCUCUGGACUGUGACUGACGCUGAGGCUCGAAAGCGUGGGGAGCAAACAGG